CUUGUUUUGAAUUCAUGGACAGCCAUUGUUCAUUGCUACUCUAACAAACUAGCAUUACUUAUAACUAAUACAUCUGUUGCAUCCAUUUUUCAGUUUGAGAAACCCUACACUGGUGGAAACGGAGAAUCGGUGUCAUCCAAGGAUUCCGCCAACUACAGCAGUAAUGAAAUCUUCAGCAACCACAGUACAAAACUGUUUGAGAUUGAGAGGGGUGUGCAGAAGCUGGACCUGACAGGAAAGAGACGUGUGCAGUUGCGCGCGGGGUCAGAGAUCAACCUCGUGAGCGUGGGGACGAAACCAGCUAAACGGAAUUCCUUCAGACGCUCCCUCGCUUUCUGCGCUGAGCGAGCACAGGGGGGCUUUCUGACCCCACUCUUGAGAAGAACUGCCUCUGCAAAAAGCACCCUAAAGAAAGCUCCGUCUGCCCUGUUUAUGGAGCAUGGCAGGGUCUUCCAGCGGAGGAAGGAGUGGGAAACCAAAGCUUCAGGUUGACAUCAAGAGAAGACUCUCCCACAUUCCCCUCAUAUUGUCAAUAUAAUAUUGCACUGAAAAUAAUAUUCUUUCCAAGCAUGUGGAUCAUGCAGUGGUUUAGAUUUGUAAAGUUUUUUAUUCUUUUUUGGGGGGUACUUGGUACGUUUAUGAAAAUAACCGAACACACAAACUCUUUAUCAGCAUAUUCUGUCCGUAGACAUCUCAUCUUCACACACAGGGUUGCAAGACUGUUAGGGAGCAACUGCAAAACAUUUUACGUAUUUAUUGAGAUGAUGCUAAAUGUACAUUUCUUUAGAAAUUAAAGAUAACAGCAUUGGCGCCAACAUUUCAGGUAUCGAAUAACUCUAUGUCUAGAGAGUGGCACAUUUAAAUAAAGUGGAGUUUUAUGUUUAUCA
ensembl:lncRNA